UAGUCCAGAGGCAAAUCGUCUGCAGCGGCGUCCGCCAUUUUGGUUUACUUAUCCUUACGAGUGCUGGUACCAAUCUAUUUUUAUAUAUAUAUAUAUGGUU